CGGGACACGUGGUAUCCUGUCUGAAUAUGGGGGGACCAUCCUCCAAGGCUAAAUACUCCUGACUGACCGAUAGUGAACCAGUACCGUGAGGGAAAGGCGAAAAGAACCCCGGCGAGGGGAGUGAAAAAGAACCUGAAACCGUGUACGUACAAGCAGUGGGAGCACGCUUAGGCGUGUGACUGCGUACCUUUUGUAUAAUGGGUCAGCGACUUAUAUUCUGUAGCAAGGUUAACCGAAUAGGGGAGCCGAAGGGAAACCGAGUCUUAACUGGGCGUUAAGUUGCAGGGUAUAGACCCGAAACCCGGUGAUCUAGCCAUGGGCAGGUUGAAGGUUGGGUAACACUAACUGGAGGACCGAACCGACUAAUGUUGAAAAAUUAGCGGAUGACUUGUGGCUGGGGGUGAAAGGCCAAUCAAACCGGGAGAUAGCUGGUUCUCCCCGAAAGCUAUUUAGGUAGCGCCUCGUGAAUUCAUCUCCGGGGGUAGAGCACUGUUUCGGCAAGGGGGUCAUCCCGACUUACCAACCCGAUGCAAACUGCGAAUACCGGAGAAUGUUAUCACGGGAGACACACGGCGGGUGCUAACGUCCGUCGUGAAGAGGGAAACAACCCAGACCGCCAGCUAAGGUCCCAAAGUCAUGGUUAAGUGGGAAACGAUGUGGGAAGGCCCAGACAGCCAGGAUGUUGGCUUAGAAGCAGCCAUCAUUUAAAGAAAGCGUAAUAGCUCACUGGUCGAGUCGGCCUGCGCGGAAGAUGUAACGGGGCUAAACCAUGCACCGAAGCUGCGGCAGCGACGCUGAUGCGUUGUUGGGUAGGGGAGCGUUCUGUAAGCCUGUGAAGGUGUGCUGUGAGGCAUGCUGGAGGUAUCAGAAGUGCGAAUGCUGACAUAAGUAACGAUAAAGCGGGUGAAAAGCCCGCUCGCCGGAAGACCAAGGGUUCCUGUCCAACGUUAAUCGGGGCAGGGUGAGUCGACCCCUAAGGCGAGGCCGAAAGGCGUAGUCGAUGGGAAACAGGUUAAUAUUCCUGUACUUGGUGUUACUGCGAAGGGGGGACGGAGAAGGCUAUGUUGGCCGGGCGACGGUUGUCCCGGUUUAAGCGUGUAGGCUGGUUUUCCAGGCAAAUCCGGAAAAUCAAGGCUGAGGCGUGAUGACGAGGCACUACGGUGCUGAAGCAACAAAUGCCCUGCUUCCAGGAAAAGCCUCUAAGCAUCAGGUAACAUCAAAUCGUACCCCAAACCGACACAGGUGGUCAGGUAGAGAAUACCAAGGCGCUUGAGAGAACUCGGGUGAAGGAACUAGGCAAAAUGGUGCCGUAACUUCGGGAGAAGGCACGCUGAUAUGUAGGUG
rnacentral:rRNA from 1 species